ACAAAGCCCUUCUCUAAUAGCUCUUGGACGAGUCUCUCCAUCACAAUCUUCCCUAACGCAAAGGAUCCAUCGCCACGUCCUAGAUGAUGGCAUUGAAAAUAUUAUCCCGUCACUCUAUCAAAUGCCACGGGCUUAUGGGUCUUCUUGUGCUCCACCCAGAUGAGCGAGCUCGUGUUUUCCAAAGCCACUUUGAUCUUUUUCAGGCCACGAAGGAGGUUUGAGGUGGAGAGAGGGAAGAGGAUUAGAGAUUAUGCCAUGUAGAAGCAUUGUUUGGUAGCUCUAAUUCCUUAUCAGCUUCGUCUCAAGGAGGAACAAUGGGUGAUGAGUGGCAUUAAUGGCAGUUAAGACUCUGGUUUUGGUAGUGACGGGUAGGUGUGAACUUAUUCUCUUUCUGGAAUUUCUUAAGCCUUUCUUCCUGUAAAUUUCUUUUCUUGAAUUCUCUUCCUUAGUUUCAUUUCCUUUCUUCGUCGUUUUCUUAAAUUCCAAUUCUCAUCCGCAAUAAAAAAACAUGGAUUAUAUCUCAUUUGAAAUCACAAGAACUAUGCCAGAAUUGGAUAGCAUAAAAUGUAGAGGCCUGUGUUUACAGUGUAAAGAGAAAUACAUCAUUGGCCAUGAUGGUGUCAAGGUACAUUCAUGGUAAAUCUAAUAAACGAUAUGGUAGAUGAACAAAAUGAUGGUUCAACUAAUAAUGGAUUAUGUUCAGAUGAAAAAUUUAAAGAUGCUUGAUAUUUUAAGGGAUAUCGAGAGAGGGAAAAGGAGUAAAGCAGGUGGUGUUAUUGGGGAAUUGGAGACAUCCCAAAAUCAGUGCAGCAAUGUGGAGUUAACCUGCCUUCAAUGAGAAUGUUCAAUAAGAAAUUUCACUAUUGCAGCCUAUUGAAUGUUCCAAAUGGGGUGAAGAAUCUGAGCCAAAAAAUAACAACCUGAAGAAGCCAAAUUCCACGCAAGAUUGUCUUGAUUCUUUUGAUAAGUUUUACUCGAAGUUAUGCCUAUUGGCUCCAGCUACAAAGGAUUUUGGUGAUUUUCCCAAAAAGGUGAAUGAAUUAAGUACACUCUAUGAGAAGAGAAGUUUG
rnacentral:misc_RNA from 1 species